AGUGAACGCUGGCGGUAGGCCUAACACAUGCAAGUCGAACGGCAGCACAGUAAGAGCUUGCUCUUACGGGUGGCGAGUGGCGGACGGGUGAGGAAUACAUCGGAAUCUACUUUUUCGUGGGGGAUAACGUAGGGAAACUUACGCUAAUACCGCAUACGACCUACGGGUGAAAGCAGGGGAUCUUCGGACCUUGCGCGAUUGAAUGAGCCGAUGUCGGAUUAGCUAGUUGGCGGGGUAAAGGCCCACCAAGGCGACGAUCCGUAGCUGGUCUGAGAGGAUGACCGGCCCCGUUGGACUUGACACCCGCACCAGCCCCUACCGGAGGCCGGCAGUGGGAAUUAUGGAACAAGGGGGGAAGGCUUCACCAGGCGAUCCGGCGUGGGGGAGAAAGGCCUCGGGGUGGAAAACCCCUUUCGUGGGGAAAAAAAAGAGCCAGAUAAAUCCCCCGUUUUUUGACGGUACCCAAAGAAUAAGCCCCGGCUAACUUCGUU
rnacentral:rRNA from 1 species